UACGUAGGUCCCGAGCGUUGUCCGGAUUUAUUGGGCGUAAAGCGAGCGCAGGUGGUUUAUUAAGUCUGGUGUAAAAGGCAGUGGCUCAACCAUUGUAUGCAUUGGAAACUGGCGAGCUGGAGUGCCGGAGAGGUAAGCGGAAUUCCUAGUGUAGCGGUGAAAUGCGUAGAUAUUAGGAGGAACACCAGUGGCGAAGGCGGCUUACUGGACGGCAACUGACGCUGAAGCUCGAAAGCGUGGGGAGCAAACAGG
rnacentral:rRNA from 1 species